UCUCUAGCUUGGUCAGAAACAAACAAUUGACCAACUUGGUCCACUGGUCGACCUUGUUGCCUCACAGGUGGAGUCAGUCAUGCCCCAAAGCUCAAGUUGGUCUAAGGUAGGGGUUUGCUGUGCCACUUCCACUCCAUUCUUUUCUUUUAAUUGUUUUAAUUGUUUCAUCUUUUUCUUGAUGCUUUCAGAUUGCCAUAACCUUGACGCACUUGAUUUGUAUUGUGUCUCUAGCUUGGUCAGAAAUGAACAAUUGACCAACUUGGUCCACUGGCCGACCUUGUUGCCUCACAAAUGGAGCCAAGUCAUGCCCCAA
rnacentral:lncRNA from 1 species